rnacentral:rRNA from 1 species
AGUCGAACGAGAAAGGGAUCCUUCGGGAGCCUGAGUAAAGUGGCGAACGGGUGAGUAACACGUGGGUGACCUGCCCUCUGGAGGGGGAUAACCCGAGGAAACUCGGGCUAAGACCGCAUAAGCCUUCGAGGUCAAACUCAAAGGGAAAAGGAUUUAGCUUUCGAGCUAGAUCCUACCGGAGGAGGGGCCCGCGUCCCAUAGCUUGUUGGUGGGGUAAAAGCCUACCAAGGCUACGAUGGGUAGCCGGUCUGAGAGGACGGACGGCCACACUGGAACUAAGACACGGUCCAGACUCCUACGGGAGGCAGCAGUGGGGAAUUUUGGGCAAUGGGCGAAAGCCUGACCCAGCAACGCCGCGUGGAGGAUGAAGGCCCUCGGGUCGUAAACUCCUGUCCUAGGGGAAGAAAAAAAUGACGGUACCCUUGGAGGAAGCCCCGGCUAACUCCGUGCCAGCAGCGCGGUAAGACGGGGGGGGCGAGCGUUGUUCGGAAUUACUGGGCGUAAAGGGCGCGCAGGCGGCCUGGGAAGUCUUGGGUGAAAGCCCCCAGCUCAACUGGGGAAUGGCCUGAGAAACCACUAGGCUGGAGUGCUGGAGAGGGAAGCGGAAUUCCCGGUGGAGCGGUGAAAUGCGUAGAUAUCGGGAGGAACACCAGAGGCGAAGGCGGCUUCCUGGACAGACACUGACGCUGAGGCGCGAAAGCUAGGGGAGCAAACGGAUUAGAUACCCCGGUAGUCCUAGCUGUAAACGACGGGUACUAGAUGUGGGAGGUAAUAGAAAGUCCUUCCGUGUCGGCGAUAACUCAAUAAGUACCCCGCCUGGGGAGUACGGCCGCAAGGCUGAAACUCAAAGGAAUUGACGGGGGCCCGCACAAGCGGUGGAGCAUGUGGUUUAAUUCGACGCAACGCGCAGAACCUUACCAGCCCUUGACAUGGGAGUCGCGGACGCCAGAGAUGGCAUCCUUCGGUUCGGCCGACUCCACACAGGUGCUGCAUGGCUGUCGUCAGCUCGUGUCGUGAGAUGUUGGGUUAAGUCCCGCAACGAGCGCAACCCUCAUCCUAUGUUGUUUUUUCAUGGGAGACUGCCGCCUCCAAGGCGGAGGAAGGUGAGGACGACGUCAGAUCUGCGUGUCCCUUAUGCCUGGGGCAACACCCGUGCUACAAUGGCCGGUACAAAGGGUAGCCAACCCGCGAGGGGGAGCCAAUCCCACAAAACCGGUCUCAGUUCGGAUUAAGUCUGCAACUCGACUUCAUGAAGUUGGAAUCGCUAGUAACCGUGAAUCAGCUACGUCACGGUGAAUAUGUUCCUGGGUCUUGUACUCACCGCCCGUCAAGUCAUGAAAGGCAGGGGCACCUGAAGCACCGUUACCCUUCGGGGGCGGUACCACGGUGAAACUGCUGAUUGGGACUAAGUCGUAACAAGGUAACC